rnacentral:rRNA from 1 species
GACAGAGGAUGCAAACGUUGCUCGGAAUUACUGGGCGUAAAGCGCAUGUAGGCGGCUUGGUAAGUCGGACGUGAAAGCCCGGGGCUCAACCCCGGAAGCGCGCUCGAUACUGCCGAACUUGGGUCCUGAAGAGGAGAGCGGAAUUCCUGGUGUAGCGGUGAAAUGCGCAGAUAUCAGGAGGAACACCAAUGGCGAAGGCAGCACUCUGGGA